UACGAAGGGGGCUAGCGUUGCUCGGAAUCACUGGGCGUAAAGCACACGUAGGCGGCUUUUUAAGUCAGGGGUGAAAUCCUGGAGCUCAACUCCAGAACUGCCUUUGAUACUGGGAAGCUUGAGUCCGGGAGAGGUGAGUGGAACUCCGAGUGUAGAGGUGAAAUUCGUAGAUAUUCGGAAGAACACCAGUGGCGAAGGCGGCUCACUGGCCCGGUACUGACGCUGAGGUGCGAAAGCGUGGGGAGCAAACAGG
rnacentral:rRNA from 1 species